GUGAGAGACACUUCAUUGGCACUGUAACAGCUCCAGAGCCUGGAAAGUGAGAGUAAUGACUCUUCUGGGGCUGUUAUUGUGUCAGAGGAAAUAUUAAUGAGACCCUUCAUUGAUGUUAUAACAGCUCUUACACCAGGCUCCUUCACUGAAACAAGUUUAUGUACAAACAUACUACUAAAACCAACAAGCACAUCCGGCUCCUCACAGGAAAAGCAUCAGCAGGCACAGGUGAAAACAAUGCCAAGAACUGCUCCCCAUCCUUAAAACCAUAAUUAAGCCACUUCAUGGAUUCAAUUUUUUCUGUUAAGAAAAUCCCCUUGAAUAGAUUCUGCAAGGACUGCUUUUGUGUGUCUUGGCCAGGACUGCCUGAAUCACAGACCUAGUGCUGAAGGUCCAUGUUCUAUAACCUAG